ACACUCCUACGGGAGGCAGCAGUGGGGAAUUUUGGACAAUGGGCGAAAGCCUGAUCCAGCAAUGCCGCGUGAGUGAAGAAGGCCUUCGGGUUGUAAAGCUCUUUUGUCAGGGAAGAAACGGUGAAAGCUAAUAUCUUUUGCUAAUGACGGUACCUGAAGAAUAAGCACCGGCUAACUACGUGCCAGCAGCCGCGGUAAUACGUAGGGUGCAAGCGUUAAUCGGAAUUACUGGGCGUAAAGCGUGCGCAGGCGGUUUUGUAAGUCUGAUGUGAAAUCCCCGGGCUCAACCUGGGAAUUGCAUUGGAGACUGCAAGGCUAGAAUCUGGCAGAGGGGGGUAGAAUUCCACGUGUAGCAGUGAAAUGCGUAGAUAUGUGGAGGAACACCGAUGGCGAAGGCAGCCCCCUGGGUCAAGAUUGACGCUCAUGCACGAAAGCGUGGGGAGCAAACAGGAUUAGAAACCCGUGUAGUCC
rnacentral:rRNA from 1 species